ensembl:snoRNA SNORA2A small nucleolar RNA, H/ACA box 2A
UGAGCCCUGAAUCAAGGCCAGCAACUUGCUGUAGCUGUUGGUUUCAAACAGCGGCCAACAUCAAAAUCUUCAUGGUCUGUUGAUUUUCCCAAUUGUACCAAAUGGGAAAAAUCUAUUCAGUUUGAAGAGACAUCC